UAACAGACAGUUAUCCCUUUCUAGUCUGGCUUGUGGGAUUCUAGAGGGAGUCAGUCUGCAAUAGUAAGAGGUAAGUUCUUCUGUCCAGCAUCAGCGUUUUGUGGUGGCUUUGCACUUGCCAGAUAUCA